rnacentral:rRNA from 1 species
CCUACGGGUGGCAGCAGUGGGGAAUAUUGGGCAAUGGGCGAAAGCCUGAUCCAGCAACGCCGCGUGAAGGAAGAAGGCUUUCGGGUUGUAAACUUCUUUUGACAGGGAAGAGCAGAAGACGGUACCUGUCGAAUAAGCCACGGCUAUCUAUGUGACAGCAGCCGCGGUAAUACGUAGGUGGCAAGCGUUGUCCGGAUUUACUGGGUGUAAAGGGCGUGUAGUCGGGCAUACAAGUCAGUUGUGAACUCCGGGGGCCCAACCCCCGAACUGCUUUUGAAACUGUUGGUCUUGAGUAUCGGAGGGGCAGGCGGAAUUCCUAGUGUAGCGGUGAAAUGCGUAGAUAUUAGGAGGAACACCAGUGGCGAAGGCGGCCUGCUGGACGACAACUGACGGUGAGGCGCGAAAGCGUGGGGAGCAAACAGGAUUAGAUACCCUAGUAGUC